rnacentral:misc_RNA from 1 species
GAUGAAGAACGCAGCGAAAUGCGAUAAGUAAUGUGAAUUGCAGAAUUCAGUGAAUCAUCGAAUCUUUGAACGCACAUUGCGCCCGCCAGUAUUCUGGCGGGCAUGCCUGUUCGAGCGUCAUUUCAACCAUCAAGCUCUGCUUGCGUUGGGGAUCCGCGGCUGCCCGCGGUCCCUCAAAACCAGUGGCGGGCUCGCUAGUCACACCGAGCGUAGUAACUUUACAUCGCUAUGGUCGUGCGGCGGGUGCUUGCCGUAAAACCCCCCAUUUUUUAAGGUUGACCUCGGAUCAGGUAGGAAUACCCGCUGAACUUAAGCAUAUCAAUAAGCGGAGGA